GAUGAACGCUGGCGGCGUGCCUAAUACAUGCAAGUCGAGCGAACAGACGAGGAGCUUGCUCCUCUGACGUUAGCGGCGGACGGGUGAGUAACACGUGGAUAACCUACCUAUAAGACUGGGAUAACUUCGGGAAACCGGAGCUAAUACCGGAUAAUAUAUUGAACCGCAUGGUUCAAUAGUGAAAGAUGGUUUUGCUGUCACUUAUAGAUGGAUCCGCGCCGCAUUAGCUAGUUGGUAAGGUAACGGCUUACCAAGGCAACGAUGCGUAGCCGACCUGAGAGGGUGAUCGGCCACACUGGAACUGAGACACGGUCCAGACUCCUACGGGAGGCAGCAGUAGGGAAUCUUCCGCAAUGGGCGAAAGCCUGACGGGGCAACGCCGCGUGAGUGAUGAAGGUCUUCGGAUCGUAAAACUCUGUUAUUAGGGAAGAACAAAUGUGUAAGUAACUAUGCACGUCUUGACGGUACCUAAUCAGAAAGCCACGGCUAACUACGUG
rnacentral:rRNA from 1 species